GGAGCUAUGCAAUCUUCUGGUCAACUGCAGUUACACAACCAGGGGUGUUGAAAUGGAUUGAUGGGUACUAUAAUGGGGAUAUCAAGACCAGGAAGACUGUUCAGGCGGGGGAAGUUAAUGAAGACCAGCUGGGGUUGCAUAGAACUGAGCAAUUGAAAGAACUUUAUAGUUCCCUCUUAACAAGUGAAAGUGAAGAAGACCUGCAGCCACAGGCCAAAAGGCCGUCGGCCUCAUUAUCCCCAGAAGAU
rnacentral:misc_RNA from 1 species